rnacentral:rRNA from 1 species
UACGAAGGAGGCUAGCGUUGCUCGGAAUCACUUGGCGUAAAGGGCGCGUAGGCGGGUCUUUAAGUCAGGGGUGAAAUCCUGGAGCUCAACUCCAGAACUGCCUUUGAUACUGAAGAUCUUGAGUUCGGGAGAGGUGAGUGGAACUGCGAGUGUAGAGGUGAAAUUCGUAGAUAUUCGCAAGAACACCAGUGGCGAAGGCGGCUCACUGGCCCGAUACUGACGCUGAGGCACGAAAGCGUGGGGAGCAAACAGG